UGGGGAAUCUUGGACAAUGGGCGCAAGCCUGAUCCAGCCAUGCCGCGUGGAUGAUGAAGGCCUUAGGGUUGUAAAAUCCUUUCGUGGGGGACGAUAAUGACGGUACCCCAAGAAGAAGCUCCGGCUAACUUCGUGCCAGCAGCCGCGGUAAUACGAAGGGGGCUAGCGUUGUUCGGAUUUACUGGGCGUAAAGCGCGUGUAGGCGGGUCGUUAAGUUGGGGGUGAAAUCCCGAGGCUCAACCUCGGAACUGCCUUCAAAACUGGCGACCUGGACUCAAGCAGAGGCAAGUGGAAUUGCGAGUGUAGAGGUGAAAUUCGUAGAUAUUCGCAGGAACACCAGUGGCGAAGGCGACUUGCUGGGCUUGUAGUGACGCUGAGACGCGAAAGCGUGGGGAGCAAACAGGAUUAGAUACCCCGGUAGUCCCUGAGCGGGCUGGCAAGGCGCAU
rnacentral:rRNA from 1 species